rnacentral:tRNA from 1 species
GGGGGUGUAGCUCAGCAGUAGAGCACUUGACAGGCUCUUGGUUUGAUUCCCAGCACCACCA